rnacentral:misc_RNA from 1 species
UGAAAAGAAAAAUUAUAUAACCCAUUCAGAUUUUCAAAGGCAUGAAUUUGCAAACAAAAUUCUACUGCAAAAAUCCUAAUGCAGCAAUAGGUGAGUACUUCAAUUCAUUGUUCCAAACAAAAGCUCGAUUGCAAUGCUACUUCAAGAAUUACAUGAAUUACGCUCCCCGGUGCUGCAGCUGUUGGGAAUGGAUGAAACGUGAUCCGUUGAGUUUAAGCGAUUUGGUGAGAAAAGUGUUUUGACUUGGACCCUCUCAAGCGGAGGCACGAACCCAGUGCGGCGCGUAGAUGUAGUGGGAGGUUUUCGUCAAAAUCAGUUGGAAUUGAGGCUGCAAUGGUAGUUGAUUUUGAGGUAGGAAUGGAGGUGGUAAUUUCGUAGAGCUGCAGGAAAAGGACUGAGGAUGUAUGUUUGUAUGUAAGAGAAGCUUUGAAGAUUGUGGUUGUAGACGCCCAAACGGUGGCUUUGCCCAGCAAGUACCGGCGACGGAGGAUGAUUUCGGCCUGGAAAGGAGGGAAAUUGGGUUAAAUUUAGAUUUCGG